rnacentral:rRNA from 1 species
AUUGAACGCUGGCGGCAUGCCUUACACAUGCAAGUCGAACGGCAGCACGGGAGCAAUCCUGGUGGCGAGUGGCGAACGGGUGAGUAAAGUAUCGGAACGUGCCCAGUCGUGGGGGAUAACGUAGCGAAAGUUACGCUAAUACCGCAUACGAUCUAUGGAUGAAAGCGGGGGAUCGCAAGACCUCGCGCGAUUGGAGCGGCCGAUAUCAGAUUAGGUAGUUGGUGGGGUAAAGGCCCACCAAGCCGACGAUCUGUAGCUGGUCUGAGAGGACGACCAGCCACACUGGGACUGAGACACGGCCCAGACUCCUACGGGAGGCAGCAGUGGGGAAUUUUGGACAAUGGGCGAAAGCCGAUCCAGCCAUGCCGCGUGCAGGAUGAAGGCCUUCGGGUUGUAAACUGCUUUUGUACGGAACGAAAAGGACUGCCCUAAUACGGUGGUCCCAUGACGGUACCGUAAGAAUAAGCACCGGCUAACUACGUGCCAGCCGCCGCAGUAAAAC